rnacentral:pre_miRNA from 1 species
AUUGUACUUCAUCAGGUGCUCUGGUUGUCUUUAAUCCAGGCAUCUUAUGGAGUGCAACUG